GGACUACUGGGGUAUCUAAUCCUGUUCGCUCCCCUAGCUUUCGCGCCUCAGCGUCAGAUGCCAGCCAGGACACUGCCUUCGCCUUUGGUAUUCCUCCGGAUAUCUACGCAUUUCACCACUCCACCCGGAAUUCUAUGUCCCUCUCUGGCCCUCAAGUUCAGCAGUUUCCAGAGGCCUUUCCCAGUUGAGCCGGGAACUGUCACUCCAGACUUGCCGUACCGCCUGCACGCCCUUUACGCCCAGUAACUCCGGACAACGCUCGCCCCCUACGUAUUACCGCGGCUGCUGGCAC
rnacentral:rRNA from 1 species